rnacentral:tRNA from 1 species
GGUUGUGACUCAGUGGUAGAGCAUUUGCCUAGCACGUGCGAGGCCCUGGGUUCAAUCCUCAGCACCA